UCACUCACGUGUCCAUUGGUGGAAGGCUGCACCGGUAGAAUAGAGAAUUUUUUGGCGCGUGUUUUUUAUGGAAACUUCACCUAAUAUAAUGCUCCGAAAACACGUUUCAGAUACAUCAAAUACCUAAUAAUCCGGCUAUUUCUCUUUUUCUCUCUAAUAUUGAUUCUAAAUAUUGUAAUCUCUACUGCGGAGAGUUUUGUAAAACCACAUAGAUACAAUAUUUAUAAAAGAAUAUGCAACGACGUCUAGCAAUCAACGUAACACAAUGAGCACUAAAACAAAUACACCUGCGAGGAUAACUGCUACGAACAAAAAAACUGGAAAGCAUCCACAAACUUUGAAAACACAUGAUGCAGGACAUAAGCCCUUAACAGCAAGCCCUGCCAAAGAAGUUUUAUUACUCAGUAAAGGGGAUAUUGUGGAAGUCACGGUAAUAAGGAAUAGAAAAGCUGAAGGUCAGAAACAUACUUCACCUAUAAUUUCUAGUCCUGGACAGAAAACUGAAAGAAAAAAGUCUGCAACCAGUAAUAGUGAAAUACCACCAAGCUGGGGUUCCAUAUUUGGAGAGCAGAAUUUAUUAUAUAUGAAAGCACAAUCCUUUAAACAUAGCGAAAAUAAAGAUACCAACAAGAAUUCAAAUUCUGAAAGGAUACAGCAAAAUGGAUGUAAUCAUGUCCAAAAACAUACUGGUACAAUUUCAUCCAAAGGAAUAUCUUCUCGGGAGAAAUCGAGGAAGAAUUCACAAGCCUCAUGUAUCUUUGUUCAAGAUCGUGCCGUACAAUGUCCUGAAAUAUCCAAUAAUACCAAUAGAUUUGCUGAAUUUAAUCCAGUACAUACAUUAAGCUUUUUAAUAAAAGAAUUAAAGGAUUUAGUUAUGAAGAAAGAUGAUAGAACUUGUGAAAUCUUUACUGAAAUAGAACAAGUACUGUUCAGGAUACCUGUAAGCUCUGCAAAACCAAUAUCUGAGGAUUUGAAAAUAGACACGCUAGAAGCUGGUACACUUCAAUUAAAGGAGUCUAGUAAACAAAUGAAGGCUUUGUGCAAAUCGUGGGUGUUAGAACGAGAAAAAUUUCAAAGUUUAAUUCGAGAGCAAGAUACACAAAUCCAGGAAGCAAAUCAAAAACAAAAAGAGGUUGUACUCCAUGCAGAGGUGCUUACGCAAAAAUUGGCAGAAGUAACUCGUGUAACAAAAGCUAAAGAUGAAGCAAUAUCAGCAUUAAAGCGACAAAUUGAAGACAAUGAAAGAAUAAUCUCAGAUUUAAAAGUAGAAUUGACUAAGCAAACAGAACUUGCACGACUUAACGAAUAUCUGAUAAUGGAUAAAGAUAAACUUUCAAAAUUGUCUUCUUACAAGGAUACGUUAAUCAUCGAAUAUCAAAAAAUAAUAAUAGAUCUACAAAAUCAAAUUGAAAAACUCAAAUUAAGAAAUUUAAAUGAAGUAUUUGCGAACGAAGGAAGUACAAGCUCUCAAGUAUCGGCUAUCCAAACAGGGCUCGCAUAUUCAUCUCCUACGUCAAGUUUUUCCGGUCACUCUAAUAAAUCCUGGCACGAUUUAACAGAUGUUUCUACAGUAGAACAUGCCUCUCAAGAACAUGUUACCCUAAAUAAAGACAUACCCAUUAGAGAUUCAGCCCGUUUGGAAUUUGUUAGCUUACUCGACGGGGAAUCAUCGCAUACUAUAAUCCCCGACCACAAUCAAGUUAUGAACGAUAAAGGAACAGUAGUGCAUAACAAUAAUAAAAAUAAUAUUUUUCCUUAUCGAAAUGUGAACGAUGUGAUUCCAAAAAAAUGCUUACAUCAUUCCUCAAAAAAAAGGCAUAAUAAAGAGAAUAUGUGCAAAAUGAGAAAGUUUUCCAGAUUUGAGGAAAGACAAAAAGAUAAUACAAAAAAUUCGUUUUGUCGUAAUACAUCGAAAAUUCUUGAAAAUGUUACAGCUACUAAACCAAUGGUUUCUGACAUGAGGAAGCAAGGAUAUGAUAUACACAAUAGGAUACCUGUUAAUGUACCGAGUCCAUUACGGGAUUAUCCACAUCCUGAUUGGAGUGACAGUAGUUUACCUAGCGUUAGUACGGCUUCCGGCUUAGAUAUGGUGCCAUCGAACGAUAUUUAAGAAACUAUAUGUUUAAAAUAAACAACUCUUGCAAAGUUUUCCCAUCUAAAAAAUUACUAACGUAUUUGCCAAUUCACUGAACAUGUACAAACUUAUAUCUUAUUGCAGAGCUGUGAUAAGCAGUCAUACAAUACACAUUCUACUUCGUAAUGAAGUCUACAAAAGCUAAAACGAUUUCUACAUUAAGUGAAAUUGAGUAGGCUUUCAAAUCAACGCGCGCACUACCCUCCUCCUAGUCUUCUCCUCUUCGUUUUCGCGCGCAGUCGUAGAUUCGAUAUAUCGAUACCUCCCUUCAUACCGUUCUCGACCAAAAUGUCCAAUUUUGUGGCGCGGUGCGACGCUUCGCUUCAUCCGUACGAAGAAAAUUCCGUCGCGAUUUGAGGAUAUUUGAAGUUUCCUUCCCCCGGAUACGUAUACUUUCACGUACAAGUAAGUACGGUUGUUGUUCUCUUAGUACAUAUUACAGAGGCGUUCUAAAAAAUGUGAAUUUCAUUUGAUUCGUCCGCCGGUGUUCUCCCACGACUAUAUAUGUUUAAAUUGUCUCUUUUUAACGUAUACUGUCAAACGUAUCAGAUCGUAUCAAAAGUCGCGCGUUUCCUCCAAGUUAGCGGAAAAGAAUUCUCGAUUAAAAUUUAAUCGAUCGUAAUAUUUUUUACAUUUGCAAUUGUACCUUAGAUCGCAAUUCAAGAGUUUGCCAGGAAAAUCUCGAAGGAUAGAUUUUAUUAUUCAUUUAUAUAUCUCGAUGACCUAAAUCGCCAAAACUCCUCUUGAUUUGCAAUAAAUAAUUCGUAUAAUCCCAAAUUCGUCGGAGAAUCGUGAAAAAUCGCGAGACUUUCGAUACAACCUGUAUAUGUAAAAAUCAUGUAAAUAAAAAAUACGACGAUAUAUCUAUACUAUAAUAAAAAUCGUGCACAGUGUUUUAUCGGAUGAGAAAACUACCUCGAUAAAACACUGUAAGUUGAUCGACCAGAUAAUACAACAGCAAUGACCGUUGCCGAUGAAAAGACAUGUCUUGUACGCAAACAUUUGCCAUGUAACGACUUCGCAUUAGCUAACUUUUAUCUCUUGGAUGGAUUAUAUAUUCCGAAGUUGUUUUUAUCAACGAAGUAUAUGAAAAACUAAACAGAACUGCAGCUUUAAUUCUGUCAACGUUCGCUCGAACGCCGAAAUUUCUGCGAAGAGAUUCUGAUUAAAAGAAGGAUGCCCCACGUAAAGUCGCGUGACUCUCGACAGUGUUCGAAGUAGCUCUCUCGCGCCGUUUAAAUAAUAUAAAACUCUUAUUCCACGUUUUAAUCGCGUGACGUUCUUUCCGUUAAAUUUAGAGAUUAUCUCGAAAAGAAAUCGCACGAGACGCGAGCAUUCAUUGGAAUCCCGAAUCGAACGAUCGUUGCGUAUUUUAAUCUCGCGAGAUUCGAUCGAUGCUUGUUCAAUCGGUCAUCGUUGAUUUAAAUUACAUUGGAGCACAUCAAAGUCUGUCGCGCGCACGCGAAAUUACAUCGAUAUCUCGCUCUUCGUUUGAUUUUAUAUCUUGCGUAUGAAAUAGCCGAAAGAAUUAAUACGUCGGAGAGAAAAAUAUUUAACACACACGGUAUUCGGCAUGGAAACCUUUGCGUAAGUAUGUACGUGUGUGUGCGCAUUCGUAUACCUAUUAUUAUUUUCUUUUUUUUUUUAGAUAAAUACAUAUGUACAUUUUGUGUCGAUCGUAAAGUUAAACGCGUGCAUUCGCCUUUGGUACCAUUUGCUUCUCUUCCUUUUUUUUUUUUUUUUUUUUUUGAUUUCCUCGCUUCGAAGCGCAUACACAUCUCGCGAUUUUGAAGAUAUUCGGAAUUAACUAGCGUCAAUGUAUAAUAUAAUACAAUCGGUGCUGUGAAGACAACGGACGAAUGGAACGCUAACUAUAUCUAUUUGGACAGGCCAGCUCGUUUCGCACAAUUUCGCAGAAGAGUGUCUCGUGAAGAAAUUAACACUUUCGUAAUUUUUGAUGAUCGCGGAUUAACGGCCGCAUCUCGUCGCACGGUAUAAUAUCACUAACAUAUGUAUACGUAUCGUAUAAUGCGUAUAUUACAGUAGACGAUCAUUCGUGUAGAAAUCGUAAAAUUGUGAGUCGAUUAAAAUGAAUCUAGCCGACUUUAUAAUAUCCUAAUUAAUAAUCUCAACUAUAUAAUUAUACGCCCAAAUAUAUAGCUCAGAUAUCGGAAGUGAUAGUGGGCUGUUGUAAAAAUAAAAAUUUAACAUUUGUCAUCUUGAGGUUGCAUGUUAUGGAAGGACAUGUUUUAUUGUUUUAUUGUACGUUAUAUACUGCUUUGUUCGGUGUAAAAAUAUAAAGCAUUUCGAUUACAGACUUCAUACGUACGGGCGUUGCCAUUGUUACGGAGUAAUCGGCGGCUAUUACGAUAACUUGUCUCAUACUUUCCUGCAACUUUGUCUUCUUCCUUGACGUAGGAUUGCGUGCGUCCGUUCAAAAAAAAAAAAAAAAAAAAAAAAAAAAAAAAAAAAAA